GCUUUGGUUCAUCAAUUGCCUCUGGUGAAACCUAAAAAUCAAUAACAUCUGGUCUGAUUUAACACAAACCAAAAAAAGAUUUUCUGCUUCCUAGGUAACAAUGUCAAAAAGGUAGAAUUUUACAAGUUCUCAAAGUAGGCACUUUUAAUCACUGUAAAAUUCAAAGCGUCAUUUGAAAGAACUG